GACGUAGGGCGCGAGCGUUGUCCGGAUUUAUUGGGCGUAAAGAGCUCGUAGGCGGCUUGUCGCGUCGAAUGUGAAAACCCACGGCUCAACUGUGGGCUUGCAUUCGAUACGGGCAGGCUAGAGUUCGGUAGGGGAGACUGGAAUUCCUGGUGUAGCGGUGAAAUGCGCAGAUAUCAGGAAGAACACCGAUGGCGAAGGCAGCCAUCUGGACCGACACUGACGCUGAGGCGCGAAAGCGUGGGGAGCAAACAGG
rnacentral:rRNA from 1 species